CCUACGGGUGGCAGCAGUGAGGAAUAUUGGUCAAUGGACGCGAGUCUGAACCAGCCAAGUCGCGUGAAGGAUGACUGCCCUACGGGUUGUAAACUUCUUUUGUCUGGGAGUAAACCAGGUUACGCAUGUCUGCUUGUAAGUAUCCUAUGAAUAAGCAUCGGCUAACUCCGUGCCAGCAGCCGCGGUAAUACGGAGGAUUCGAGCGUUAUCCGGAUUUAUUGGGUUUAAAGGGUGCGUAGGCGGUUGGUUAAGUCAGUGGUGAAAUGGCGGGGCUCAACCGUAGAAUUGCAUUUGAUACUGGCAGGCUUGAGUACAGUAGAGGUAGGCGGAAUGCGUGGUGUAGCGGUGAAAUGCUUAGAGAUCACGAAGAACUCCGAUUGCGAAGGCAGCUCACCGGGCUGCAACUGACGCUGAGGCACGAAAGUGUGGGUAUCAAACAGGAUUAGAUACCCCAGUAGUC
rnacentral:rRNA from 1 species